rnacentral:rRNA from 1 species
UACGUAGGUGGCAAGCGUUGUCCGGAUUUAUUGGGUUUAAAGGGUGCGUAGGCGGCUUAAUAAGUCAGUGGUGAAAGCCGAUCGCUUAACGAUCGAACUGCCAUUGAUACUGCUAGGCUUGAGUAUAGAUGAGGUAGGCGGAAUUGACAGUGUAGCGGUGAAAUGCAUAGAUAUUGUCAAGAACACCAAUUGCGAAGGCAGCUUACUAAGUUAUAACUGACGCUGAGGCACGAAGUGCGGGGAUCAAAACAGG